AGUCACUGACAUUAGAUACCCCUGUAGUCCAGGGUGUAAACGCUGCAGACUUGGUGUUGGAGGCCCUUUGGGGGCAUUCAGUGCCGGAGAGAAGUUGUUAAGUCUGCUACUUGGGGAGUACGUCCGCAAGGAUGAAACUUAAAGGAAUUGGCGGGGGAGCACCGCAACGGGAGGAGCGUGCGGUUUAAUUGGAUUCAACACCGUAAAACUCACCAGGGAAGACUGUUACAUGAAGGCCGAGAUGAAGACUCUGCUAGAUUUUUCAG
rnacentral:rRNA from 1 species